rnacentral:lncRNA from 1 species
GGCAGUCCAGUUGUGGCAUUCGGGCAAGCAACGUCCUGGCAGUAGAACCAUGUCGACUGCCAGUUCCUAACAGAUUCAGACAACUGAAGAGCGGGAUAGCUACUUUUACUUUUCUUUUGGAAGCCUAAGCCUCCGCAGAGCUGGAGGAGGUGAGUUUUGUCAUCCGACUGGUUAAGUCUUUUGAUGAUUUGAGAUCUAGCAGAGAAGAUGUGCUUGAAAAGCCCCCAAUGGGGAGGACAGCCGAUGAAACACUCGCACAG